UGGUGAAGCACAAUGUCACCACUGUGGUCACAGACAGAUGUAAGCCCAAGAUGGAGUAUGAAGCAAGUUGUGAGGAUUUGGAUUUUGGAUUUAAGCGCUACACGGCUGUCUGUGAGACCAACUGCAGUGCAAUUGAACAGGAGAUCAAAGAACUGACGGCAGGAACUCUGGAGCUGACCACACCAUCGUCAAGAUUGUUGUUCCUGUCGUUGUGCUGCUGCUGCUGGGGCUGGGGCUGGCUGGCUGGCUGAUCUAUAAAUUCAGAAAUCCCAAACCAAAAGCUGCUGAAUCAAACGACAUCAUAUGAAAGAGACUAAGAACGAGAGGAAGGACACCAUGACCGUUGUCAACAUUAGCUAUGGACAGCCACAAUGAGCUGUCACCUUCACCUCCAGAUCAUUAUGCUGCCUUCUUUCCUUACUCUGGGACUUUCC